rnacentral:rRNA from 1 species
GUGGGGAAUCUUGCGCAAUGGGCGAAAGCCUGACGCAGCCAUGCCGCGUGAAUGAUGAAGGUCUUAGGAUUGUAAAAUUCUUUCACCGGGGACGAUAAUGACGGUACCCGGAGAAGAAGCCCCGGCUAACUUCGUGCCAGCAGCCGCGGUAACACGAAGGGGGCUAGCGUUGCUCGGAAUUACUGGGCGUAAAGGGCGCGUAGGCGGACAGUUUAGUCAGAGGUGAAAGCCCAGGGCUCAACCUUGGAAUUGCCUUUGAUACUGGCUGUCUUGAGUACGGGAGAGGUGAGUGGAACUCCGAGUGUAGAGGUGAAAUUCGUAGAUAUUCGGAAGAACACCAGUGGCGAAGGCGACUCACUGGCCCGUUACUGACGCUGAGGCGCGAAAGCGUGGGGAGCAAACAGGAUUAGAUACCCUUGUAGUCC